GACGAACGCUGGCGGCGUGCUUAACACAUGCAAGUCGAACGGGCCUUGUCCCCUUUUUUUUUGGGGGAGGGGUUAGUGGCGAACGGGUGAGUAACACGUGAGUAACCUGCCCCUCACUUCUGGGUAACCGCUUGAAAGGGUGGCCAAUACGGGGUGUUCUGGCCUGCUCGCAUGGGCGGGUGUGGAAAGAUUCGACCGGCUUUGGUUGUUUUGGCGGGGGAUGGGCUCGCGGCCUAUCAGCUUGUUGGGGGGGUGAUGGCCUGCCAAGGCUUUGACGGGUAGCCGGCCUGAGAGGGUGGGCGGUCACACUGGGACUGAGACACGGCCCAGACUCCUACGGGGGGCAGCAGUGGGGAAUAUUGCACAAUGGGCGCAAGCCUGAUGCAGCGACGCCGCGUGAGGGAUGGAGGCCUUCGGGUUGUGAACCUCUUUCGCCAGUGAAGAAGGUCCUGCUCUUUGUGGUGGGGUUGACGGUAGCUGGGUUAAUGAAGCGCCGGCUAACUACGUG
rnacentral:rRNA from 1 species